rnacentral:rRNA from 1 species
GAUGAACGCUGGCGGCGUGCUUAACACAUGCAAGUCGAACGAAGCACCUUGAUUCGAUUCUUCGGAUGAAGAUCUUGGUGACUGAGUGGCGGACGGGUGAGUAACGCGUGGGUAACCUGCCUCAUACAGGGGGAUAACAGUUAGAAAUGACUGCUAAUACCGCCUAAGACCACAGCACCGCAUGGUGCAGGGGUAAAAAGUCCGGUGGUAUGAGAUGGACACGCGUCUGAUUAGGUAGUUGGUGGGGUAACGGCCUACCAAGCCGACGAUCAGUAGCCGACCUGAGAGGGUGACCGGCCACAUUGGGACUGAGACACGGCCCAAACUCCUACGGGAGGCAGCAGUGGGGAAUAUUGCACAAUGGGGGAAACCCUGAUGCAGCGACGCCGCGUGAGCGAUGAAGUAUUGCGGUAUGUAAAGCUCUAUCAGCAGGGAAGAAAAUGACGGUACCUGACGAAGAAGCACCGGCUAAAUACGUG